rnacentral:rRNA from 1 species
AUGGACAACGUCCCUGAGCACCGCGUGCAGAUGCCGGCGGCUCACCCCGCCGGCAAGGCCAAGGCCACGCCGGAGAAGCGGCUGAACCGCUUCGUGCACUUCGUCGCCAUGAUAGAGAGGAUGGGCAACGCUCUGGGUACGCUGACCUUUACCUGGGCCACCGUCGUCCUGCUCGGCGGCUACCCGACGGUGCUCCGUCCCGGUGACGAUUUUUGGAUUGUGACGACUAUAGUUUUCCUGGAGGCCGCGAGGAUGUUCAGCCAUGGAAACAAUAGACCAGAUUACCAGUUGUUCUUCCGCACGAGAGGUGCUUUCAAGUCUCUUGGCUGGAAUGGGCUGAUCUUCACCGUAUGUCUUAUGGAGGUUAUGGUAUGCGUGAUGAUCUUGUGUGGACACUGGAUACUACCAAUGCCAGUUGUUCUUCUGGUAAUUCUUGCAAUUGGCCGGUUUCUAACUCCAGGGGCUGCAAAACUACUCAUAUCCAAUGAACUAUCCUGUGCAAUAUCAUUAUGGAGCCCCAUGGUAGCAAUUAUAUUGUUAGGUCCCUCUGUACCAUAUGGCUAUGGUUUUAAGUACAAGGAUCUCUCAAUUCACAGGCUUAUUCCCAGAAACCCAAUGUCCAGAUGGGCAGCAUACCUAGUACUAUUUGUGGUGGUGCUCCUACUUACAAUCAGCAAACUUCGGUUCCCAGUUGUAGUCAAACUAGUAGAUUCUGGCCGCAAACUGGCAUGUUGGCGCCGAGUUAUCAUAAAUUUGUGCAUGUCUGCUGCCAGAGUGAUGUUGGUGUCAACUUUUCAUGGCUUAGUUCGGUACAUGAUCAUCACAUUCCAAGCAUAUGCUCUAUUGAUAGUUUCAUUUGGCAACCUCCAAGUUCCAGCAGCAGUAUUGCGCAUUGGGUUGGCACUGUCGCGCCUUAUACCACAGUGCUACUAUGGUGAUGAUGAACGUGUUGACAGGACAACACUCGGUGAUAAGACAAACUUUGUGCCAUCUCUCGAUAUAUUGUAUGCCAUGGUACUUGGCCAAGGAAUACUCUACAUUGUUGCCUGCAUCCUUGAGGUCUUUUCAUUCAUCCUCCGGCGAUCGCUCACCAAUCUUGCUGGAUUUAGAGGUCCCCUGGGAGUGGAAUAUGUCGAAUUGUACUAUGCAUAUGCAUUUGAAAAAUGCAUGAGAGGGGUUGUGCUUGCUCCAAAGAAAACCAGUCUCAUCACAUUUGCAAUCGACUCUAUAGAAUCAAACUCACCAAAGAUGCAAUUCUAUGGGGUUCAGAUGAUCCACGGCUUUUUGAAAAAGGAGCCAUUGAAGAUUAAAGCCAUCUCAAAACUCACCACUUCCACAAAGACAGUGACCACAGUGCUUAAUAUGUUGGGUUGGACUAGUAGAGGGAACAAAGAUAUUAGAUUGUUUGCCGCAAAGGUCGUGGCCGAGCUUGCUAAGAGUACCCGAAUUGCCUCUAUACCUGGGGCGAUGCAGCUCAUAGCUUCACUUCUAGACACUACCCACGAAAGAGAAAUAAAGGAUCCUCUGCUAGACACUAAUAGCCAAGUGGCCAAACAAGAUGCCCUAAUUGAGCAAGUUAGCAAGGACAGACAGAACUCCGCGAGGCUUAAAUGGUGGAAACAGAUGGUAAUAUACUGCUUGAUACCGGCAGAGGAGCCACCUAGGAUGGAUGAGCAGAACUACCAUAAGCACAUUACAGAAUGCAGGUCUGUUCCAGAGGAUGAUCCCUCGAUGAACCAUGAUCUCCUCCCUGCACUAGGCAUGUUAAUUAUUGAGAGGCUUGCUACCUUUGAUCUUGAGAACUGGAUGGAAAUCAACGGAGCAACAUGCCUCAUCUCAAAGACCAUAGAGUUUGCAAGCUGCAGAACCAAAAUGAUAAAUAUCAGUGAGACGGACCAAACAAUGCUGAAAGGUUCAUCAUUGAAGGUGCUGAGAAGACUUACAAGCACUAAAGGGAAGUUUGGUGUAGCUCUGCGACAGAAGAUUUCAGAACAUCCUUUCCUGUUGAGUAACAUUGCAGAAAUUUUGGAUGAAAGCAAGAGCAGCCGUGAAGAUAGGGAGGUCACAGCAGAGAUCAUUAGAAAUCUUGCCAUGAAUGGAAAUACAAGCGCAGAGAUUGGGCACAUCUGGUUGAUCAUUAGCAGAUUGAUGUAUGCCUUUCUCAGACAAGAUGCACCAUCGAGUGGAGAUACAGGGCACUUCCUUCCAAUGAUCGCUGGGCAAGCAUUGGCAGUGCUGGCAAUGGAGAGUUCCAACAAUUGUUUGGUUAUGUUAGCGGAGCCAGGGCAUGUAUUCAUCAGAGAACUCACAAUUAUGAUCCAUAGUGAGAGCCAGUACAGGUACACAGCAGCAAGCCUGUUGCGAGAUAUGUGCGUGCAAGCUCGGCCUGUUCUGAGCAACUCAGACCUGAAGAAUAUCUCUUACAUCUUGCGAGAGGUGUUGGAAGGAAUAAUGGAUGCAGAAGGAGCAGAGCUAGAGAUCCUUCUUGGCCUUAGUUCACAAAUAUGUAAUGUUGUUCCUGAAGACUUUGCCCGAGAACUAGAUUGUGGUGAGAUUAAGGAAAGAUUUAUAAAGAGGCUUGUCGAUGUGCUUAACUCAAAUAUGGUACCCACUGCUCAUUGUCCUGGAAUCAGGAGGGCAGUAGUUCAACAUGCAGUAUACAUGAUGGAGAACAAGCCUAGCUACGCAAACUAUUUCAACAGAUGCUGGAUGAUGGAAGCACUGGUAAUGGUAGAAAGUACACCUUCAAAGGCUGAAAAUUAUAGACUCUUCUGGGGUGAUGCAGGACUCAUGGAGCACAGCAUACCUCUCUCUGCUCUCGUGGCCAGAGCGAAAAGAUGUCUGUGA